rnacentral:rRNA from 1 species
CCUACGGGUGGCAGCAGUGAGGAAUAUUGGUCAAUGGGCGUAAGCCUGAACCAGCCAAGUCGCGUGAGGGAUGAAGGUUCUAUGGAUCGUAAACUUCUUUUAUAAGGGAAUAAAGUGUGGGACGUGUCCUGUUUUGUAUGUACCUUAUGAAUAAGGAUCGGCUAACUCCGUGCCAGCAGCCGCGGUAAUACGGAGGAUCCGAGCGUUAUCCGGAUUUAUUGGGUUUAAAGGGUGCGUAGGCGGCUUUUUAAGUCAGCGGUGAAAGUCUGUGGCUCAACCAUAGAAUUGCCGUUGAAACUGGAAGGCUUGAGUAUGUUUGAGGCAGGCGGAAUGCGUGGUGUAGCGGUGAAAUGCUUAGAUAUCACGCAGAACUCCGAUUGCGAAGGCAGCUUACUAAGCCAUAACUGACACUGAAGCACGAAAGCGUGGGGAUCAAACAGGAUUAGAUACCCGAGUAGUC